rnacentral:tRNA from 1 species
GCCGCGAUGGUGGAAUUGGUAGACACGCUAGACUCAAAAUCUGGUGUCCUCUAGGACGUGCCGGUUCAAGUCCGGCUCGCGGUACCA